ACUUCGGGGGAUUUGUUGGGCGGCGAGCGGCGGACGGGUGAGUAAUGCCUGGGAAAUUGCCCUGAUGUGGGGGAUAACCAUUGGAAACGAUGGCUAAUACCGCAUGAUAGCUUCGGCUCAAAGAGGGGGACCUUCGGGCCUCUCGCGUCAGGAUAUGCCCAGGUGGGAUUAGCUAGUUGGUGAGGUAAGGGCUCACCAAGGCGACGAUCCCUAGCUGGUCUGAGAGGAUGAUCAGCCACACUGGAACUGAGACACGGUCCAGACUCCUACGGGAGGCAGCAGUGGGGAAUAUUGCACAAUGGGCGCAAGCCUGAUGCAGCCAUGCCGCGUGUAUGAAGAAGGCCUUCGGGUUGUAAAGUACUUUCAGCAGUGAGGAAGGAGGUAUCGUUAAUAGCGGUAUCUUUUGACGUUAGCUGCAGAAGAAGCACCGGCUAACUCCGUGCCAGCAGCCGCGGUAAUACGGAGGGUGCGAGCGUUAAUCGGAAUUACUGGGCGUAAAGCGCAUGCAGGUGGUUUGUUAAGUCAGAUGUGAAAGCCCGGGGCUCAACCUCGGAAUUGCAUUUGAAACUGGCAGGCUAGAGUACUGUAGAGGGGGGUAGAAUUUCAGGUGUAGCGGUGAAAUGCGUAGAGAUCUGAAGGAAUACCGGUGGCGAAGGCGGCCCCCUGGACAGAUACUGACACUCAGAUGCGAAAGCGUGGGGAGCAAACAGGAUUAGAUACCCUGGUAGUCCACGCCGUAAACGAUGUCUACUUGGAGGUUGUGGCCUUGAGCCGUGGCUUUCGGAGCUAACGCGUUAAGUAGACCGCCUGGGGAGUACGGUCGCAAGAUUAAAACUCAAAUGAAUUGACGGGGGCCCGCACAAGCGGUGGAGCAUGUGGUUUAAUUCGAUGCAACGCGAAGAACCUUACCUACUCUUGACAUCCAGAGAACUUAGCAGAGAUGCUUUGGUGCCUUCGGGAACUCUGAGACAGGUGCUGCAUGGCUGUCGUCAGCUCGUGUUGUGAAAUGUUGGGUUAAGUCCCGCAACGAGCGCAACCCUUAUCCUUGUUUGCCAGCGAGUAAUGUCGGGAACUCCAGGAAACUGCCGGUGA
rnacentral:rRNA from 1 species